rnacentral:rRNA from 1 species
UGAGCAACCUGCCCUUAGCUUUGGGAUAACCCUCGGAAACGGGGGCUAAUACCGAAUGUUCACUGCCGGGCGCAUGUUUGGUGGUGGAAAGUUUUUCGGCUGGGGAUGGGCUCGCGGCCUAUCAGCUUGUUGGUGGGGUGAUGGCCUACCAAGGCGACGACGGGUAGCCGGCCUGAGAGGGCGACCGGCCACACUGGGACUGAGACACGGCCCAGACUCCUACGGGAGGCA